UUACCAUGCAAGUCGAACGGUGAAGAGGAGCUUGCUCCUUGGAUCAGUGGCGAACGGGUGAGUAACACGUGAGCAAUCUGCCCUUGACUCUGGGAUAACUGCGGGAAACUGUACCUAAUACCGGAUAUUACCUUGGAAGGCAUCUUCUGGGGUGGAAAGAAUUUUGGUCAAGGAUGAGCUCGCGGCCUAUCAGCUAGUUGGUGAGGUAAUGGCUCACCAAGGCGACAACGGGUAGCCGGCCUGAGAGGGUGACCGGCCACACUGGGACUGAGACACGGCCCAGACUCCUACGGGAGGCAGCAGUGGGGAAUAUUGCACAAUGGGCGCAAGCCUGAUGCAUCAACGCCGCGUGAGGGACGACGGCCUUCGGGUUGUAAACCUCUUUUAGUAGGGGAGAAGCGACUGGGUUUUCCUGGGAGUGACGGUACCUGCAGAAAAAGCACCGGCUAACUACGUGCCAGCAGCCGCGGUAAUACGUAGGGUGCAAGCGUUGUCCGGAAUUAUUGGGCGUAAAGAGCUCGUAGGCGGUUUGUCCCGUCUGCUGUGAAAACCCGAGGCUCAACCUCGGGGCCUGCAGUGGGUACGGGCAGACUAGAGUGG
rnacentral:rRNA from 1 species